rnacentral:rRNA from 1 species
ACGCUCGACACCUACUGGAGGCAGCAGUCGGGAAUAUUGCGCAAUGGAGGAAACUCUGACGCAGUGACGCCGCGUAUGGGAAGAAGGUUUUCGGAUUGUAAACCAUUUUAGACAGGGAAGAAAAAAGACAGUACCUGUAAAAUAAGCUCCGGCUAACUACGCGCCAGCACGCCGGACGGUAAUCUGGAGGCGGGGCGUGGGACGAAGGC